rnacentral:rRNA from 1 species
AACGGCGAGUGAAGCGGCAACAGCUCAAAUUUGAAAUCUGGCCCUCGGGUCCGAGUUGUAAUUUGUAGAGGAUGCUUUUGGUGCGGUGCCUUCCGAGUUCCCUGGAACGGGACGCCAUAGAGGGUGAGAGCCCCGUCUGGUUGGACACCAAUCCUCUGUAAAGCUCCUUCGACGAGUCGAGUAGUUUGGGAAUGCUGCUCUAAAUGGGAGGUAUAUGUCUUCUAAAGCUAAAUAUUGGCCAGAGACCGAUAGCGCACAAGUAGAGUGAUCGAAAGAUGAAAAGCACUUUGAAAAGAGAGUUAAACAGUACGUGAAAUUGUUGAAAGGGAAGCGCUUAUGACCAGACUUGGGCUUGGUAGAUCAACCUGGGUUCUCCCUGGUGCACUCUUCCUCGUCCAGGCCAGCAUCAGUUCGCUGCGGGGGAUAAAGGCUUCGGGAAUGUGGCUCCCUCGGGAGUGUUAUAGCCCGUUGCGUAAUACCCUGCGGUGGACUGAGGUUCGCGUUCUGCAAGGAUGCUGGCGUAAUGGUCAUCAGCGACCCGUCUUGAAACACGGACCAAGGAGUCGUCUUCGUAUGCGAGUGUUCGGGUGUUAAACCCCUACGCGUAAUGAAAGUGAACGCAGGUGAGAGCUUCGGCGCAUCAUCGACCGAUCCUGAUGUUCUCGGAUGGAUUUGAGUAAGAGCAUACGGGGCCGGACCCGAAAGAAGGUGAACUAUGCCUGUAUAGGGUGAAGCCAGAGGAAACUCUGGUGGAGGCUCGCAGCGGUUCUGACGUGCAAAUCGAUCGUCAAAUA